UUAACUAUUAAAUAGUACUCGGACAAUAUUAUAUUAAGAAUUUGAGAUCCUCUGACAUGCACUGACCAGCAAAAAGCCGGUGGUCGGUAGACGGGCUUGCCAAAGCAACAAAGGUAAAGUAAGCAAAGGGUAGGAGAUCUACCCCGAAGGGCAUAUUCUCUGUAAUGAUCCUUCCGCAGGUUCACCUACGGAAA
rnacentral:misc_RNA from 1 species